GCGUCAUGACGUCACGGCGUCCUCAGUAGCCCCGCGCUGCGCGUUGCAGCCCUUGUGUCGUUUCCUGCAUCAUCUCUUCCUGUAAGCGUUUUACCAUCUCCCGUUGUUACAAGAAGGAGGAAGAUAUGAUCAGGAAGAGCAGAGAAAAGCAAACUGCCUUUCCAAUCUUGGAGGAUGGAGGAGAGGAGAGAAAUAGGAAAUGAGAUGGAAGAAGAAAGACAUCAGGCAAGCAUGUGUCUCCUUAUCUCUUCCGGACACUUCAGCCUGUGUAAAGGCUAACGCGGAUACAAAAGAAGAUAAGUCACAUGACAUUAUCUCUGAAAGACUUCGCUUAUCCAGAAUACUUGAAAAACAGAGUGAGCCUUGACGACGAAGAAUUACAGUCUUAGCGUAUUCCGGAUGCCCUGGCUACCUCAGACCCCCGGGAGGACUGCUGCAUAGGGCAUCUGGUGAGAGGGGGCAUCUGGGUGAAUCCUUCAAGCAGCCACUGUUUAUGGUGCUCCCACCACAUGGAAGGCAUUAUAGUAGACAUUUAAGCAAAUAAAGAGGAAGAUCAAUAU